UUACGGAGCAACGGUUCACAAGGUAACAAUUGAAGGAGGCCACUGUUCAUCAAAGAGGUGCUCGAGGAGGAGGGAGGAGGAGUAGCAGCAGGAGAAGGAGUAGCAGCAGGAGGAGGAGUCGCACAAGAACCCUACGUAGGUAGGUACCUCUACCUCCGAAGAUCGACUGCUCCGACCACCGAAGGCCUAACCAUGCAUGCACGACAACCGCGUACGUACUAACGGCGAACGCGGGGGUGGUAAUCAACCAACCUCGAACGAGGCGAAGAACAGGUCGAGACAAAAAACGCUCGGCCACCAACGUCUAGAAUCGAGGACAAGUAUCGAUCCGGUGUCUAACGUCUAAAGAAAGAUCCACCUACUAAUCAAUCCAGCGAGCGACAAGAACUUAGCUUAGACGUCCUCACCUCUCCUCUAAGAACGUCUAAGUAGUCAUCACAUCUCCUCUUCGUCUCUAAACCUAGAACCCCCACCCCCGUUAUAUUACCGCUACCUCGGCCGCCACUUCCACCGCGACCCCUGCCGCCGCAAGCCGUAGAAGACCCACGACCGCCACAAGGGCCGCCACGGGAAGGACGGGUAGCCGGCGUGCCGCCCCAGCGACGACCCUCGGUACGAGUACCACGAGGAGUUGCAGUAGUGGCGGCUGCUCCGGAUGCGGCGCCACCUGGACGGGUAGGAGCCGGACGAUAAGCCGUGGUACCAGCAGUCGCAGAUGGACCUCGCGCGGCUGUACAAGGCGGUGGAGCCGGCGCGCGAGAGCACCGCGUCGGUCCCGCCGUUCCUGGACGAGGAGGCGUGGACGCGGCAGAGGCGCGAGCGCAGCCGCGAGAAGUGGUUGCUGUGGACGACGCACCACGAGUGGCUCAAGUAGGAGUUCUAGCGGGCGGUCUUGUUGGAGGGCGGGUUCGGGAAGGAGGACCGGGAGCGGAGGAGGCGGUUGUAGCCGAGGCGCCGGUGGGGGUAGCCGUUGGGCGUCUUGGAGCAGUAGCGGCACGUCUCGCCUUAGAGGAAGCCGCUGAAGCAGAAGCCGUAGGACGGCCGGUGCGAGCAGCCGCAGCAGCAGUUGCGGCGGUAGGACGAGACGGAGAUGACCGCCCUCGACAGGCUGCUGUUCACGCAGCUGCACAGGAGGGUGGUGCUGCGCGAGGGGCGGCUCCAGCAGCUGCUCCUGCUGCAGUGGAGCGUGGCGAAGAGCGGCCGGUGGUACAGCGUGGGCGCGGCGCCGGCGGAGGGCCUGCCAAGACAAGAGGGGCUGCGCCGGCCGACGGUGCGCGUGACGAGUACGCUGCUGGGCCACUUCGGGCGGAGGCAGUUGCCGCUGCGGUUCCGCCGCGGGCUGCCGCAGCCCUAGGUGGUCGCCGCACCGAGACGGCGGUCUCACUGCUGGUUCCUCCUCCUCCUACUCAUGACGACGAAGUUGAGCCGCCUCCUCUUCCUCCGCCGGUACCUGCUCCUCACCUUCUUGUCCGACACCUUCUGCACGCACAUGCAGUAGUGGAAGCCGUACGAGCACCGCGACGACGAACCGGACUUGUACAGGACCUCGCGGUAAUGGCGGCGGGACCGCGAGUAGCAGGAGCUGAAGUUCCUGCGGGCGGGGACGGAGCUCUUCCAGAGGAUGGGUGACGACGAGAAGAAGACACCCUACAAGUAGUGGCACCUGCCGAAGUUGUUCUGGCCGUAAGGGUCGUGGAAGACCCUCAAGUACCUCGGGAUGCGCGCCUAGCUGUGCGGGUGGCCCCACCAGUAUGAGCGGGACCAGUAGGACGAGGAGAGGUUACAGCGCAGCUUACAGGGCUGGCAGGACGACGAGCCGCGUGCCCACCGCCGCAGCCGCCGCCGGUAGAGGGGCCGCCGCCUCUGGUUGCGGACCGACUAGGACCGAACCCACUCGUGCCACCGCCCGUUGGACAGGGAAGACCCCAGCCGUCGCUUGGACUAGCACACGCUCGUCCGCGCGGCCAGGGUUGUCAAGCCCAUGUGGGAGAGGAAGAAGUCGGUGGAGGUCAAGCCGAAGGGCCGCUGCGAGUAGCAGUGUCCGUAGCCGGACGACGAGUAGUCCUCGUUGACUUGUCUCAGGAGUACUAAUAGUUGUGUUGUCGUCUUCUUCCUCUGUACUAAGUAUACCUAUAUAUCCGUACAUUUAAAAUUUUUAACACUUACAAGCCCGGCAGUAAACACCGGACACCCCAUUCAGAACAUGGCAUUUCUUUUCGACCCUCCGGGGGCUCGUGCCUACUACGGUAAGUACCACCACGAACCUCCGAAAAACCCAACAUGUAAUAUCUAUAUAUAUAACUUCUUCCUCCUCCUCCUCCUUCUACAUGUAAGACCUUAUCGACGAUAGAGUUAGUUCUUUCAUUUUUUUUUUUCCACAUAUAAACCAGUCAUAAGUAUGACUUAACCUAGACAACUGGCUGGUUCACCCGGGACAG
rnacentral:rRNA from 1 species